rnacentral:tRNA from 1 species
AGUUAAUGAACUUGAUAAAGUAAAUGUUUUGAAAACAUUCUAUAGAAAUAAAAUUUUCUAUUAACUU